GCGUGAGUGGUAGUACGUCGCGUUCGCGUACGGUGCGAGCGCGACGUUCCGAUCCCUCCGUCCUGUAGUAACGAAUAGAAUUAAACAUAUUUUUUAACUGUUAUACAUCAAAGAUAUCGAGACCGAAAAAGACUUUUUUUUUUUGUAUAGCUGAAAAUUAUGAUGACGAAAAAUUCGAAGGAGAAAAAUCUGAAAAAACCGGCAAAAUUAUGACAGUUCUACGAUGCCAUAACUAAGAACCUAGCCUUCAAUACUCGUACGUCGCGCGAAGGGUGAACGAGUGGAAGUCCGGCAGCAAUUGGGUUUUCUUUUUUUCUGAGGGUCGGUGUUGUUGGACGCGACGACGACGAGGAACCGCGGACGCCGUCGUCGUCGUCGUCACUAUUAACAAAAUAAAAACGCGAUAUUAGUGUUUCUUCUGUCGGGGCGGAGAACCGCCGGGCCGCAUAUCGUGUAGUGGCGGCCGGUGUUACAUAUUUCUCUCGUUAUAUAUUCUUUCGAUCGCUCAAUUGCCGCAAAAAGUAUAAGAAUUCAUGAUUCGAACAAACGAAUGAUGAAUGGGCGAAAAAGCAAUCUUGAGAAAAGUCACGAAUAAUAGAAAAUGAAACGUAUUCUGAAUUUAUGAGACUGGUGGUUUGUAAUUAUCGUUGCGUCGUUUGCGCUGAGAGUGCUGAGACCGGACCACGGCUAUUUGGUGCGGCGAUAACCAACCAUCAUAACUGCAAGAUCUCGGGAUUGUAUAGUCGUCGUCGUCGUCCUCGUGUGUUUCACGAAUCUUGUAGAUAGCGGAUCGCUGUUCGGCUUCGCGGCUAUUGUACCGGAGUACCGGCGCUUACUCCCACUCCCACUCACUCCUAGUCCACGAAGCCGUCGUUUCUUUCAAUUUGAUAAUGCGACGUCGGCGUAGAUCGCGCUGCGAUCGCGUUAUACCUGCCGCUCCGUCGAUGAACCAAAUUAAAAUAAAAACCACAUAAAAACUGACUAAAGAAGAUUUUUCUAUUAAAAUUCGAGUAAAGAAAAGAUUGAAGUUUUCCUAUCACAAGUAUAUAACAAAGAGCAAAACGUCCAGCACAAACUUGUUCACUUAGCAGUACGAAAGGACCCCUUUCGUACAGAGUUUACACUGCGUAUACACCAAAAUCGGAAACUACAGCGAUAUGUAUAUAAAUAUAUAUAUAUAUGCGUGUACAUGUUACACGUACACGAUUUUAUCGGUAGCGGGGCAAGUGAGUGGGAGGUUGGAAGGAAAAGUCUACGAGGUCUGUUGCCAUGGUGACACCCCUAAACAGCAUUCGUCGACAGUUUCCCCUCAUCCGCCUGAUCCGCCUUCGGUCUUCGGUGCUCUUUCACUCUGCUUUUGCUGCGUGCUUUUUCUCCGUAUAUAUAAACACCACAGUAUACAGGAGGAGGACGCAUUUUGUCAUCCAUCUUUGGUGUACGACGCGGGGACGCGCCAAGUCCUUUGCAACGUGCCUCCUGCGUUUGAUAUUAUACUUGACUCUUGCCAGUCGAAUGGCUAUGCGACUUGAAAACGGUCGAGUAUAGUAAGAGUAGUACGUACGACGGAGCAGUGACAAGAAGCCGCGAGGACGAUAUUAUAAUGCACGAGACAACGAGUCAAUAUAUAUAUAUAUAUUAUACGAAGAGUUAAGGCUGGAGAGGGGAGAGACAGAGUAUAACAUUUUUUUGUUUUUUAAAUGAAAGAACGAGAGAGAUGCAAUUAUUUUUGUAAACUGUGAAACAGCAUCCUUGUUCGGUAGUUCAUUUUCACGGUCUUCGCUCCAUAGUUUUUUUGUUUUUGGUUUUAAUUUCAUCAGUUUUUUGAAUCUGCAGUCACGAGGCAAGCUGUGUACCCUCGAGGGAAACAAUUUACCGAGAAACAUGGUACAAGUAAUGAAUUAUAAUAGGAUGUUGGUAGCGUGGGUAGUGAAUGGGGGAUAAGAGAGGAUUUUCGAAGGGGACAUGUGGGUAGAACCGAUUUUCAACUCUUAGCGAGAUAUCCUCGACGGUGCCGAUCCUGCUUGGACGUAUGAAUAUACACAAAAUUAAAAAAAAAAAAAACCAUAUUUAACGGCA